rnacentral:rRNA from 1 species
UACGAAGGGGGCUAGCGUUGCUCGGAAUCACUGGGCGUAAAGCGCACGUAGGCGGAUCUUUAAGUCAGGGGUGAAAUCCUGGAGCUCAACUCCAGAACUGCCUUUGAUACUGGGGAUCUCGAGUCCGGGAGAGGUGAGUGGAACUGCGAGUGUAGAGGUGAAAUUCGUAGAUAUUCGUAAGAACACCAGUGGCGAAGGCGGCUCACUGGCCCGGUACUGACGCUGAGGUGCGAAAGCGUGGGGAGCAAACAGG